rnacentral:lncRNA from 1 species
AGGUAUUCAGGUUAUUGUGCAUGGAGGGGAGUUCUUGAUUUUUCAGGACGAGAGAAUUGAGAAGCCAUUUUGGGGAUCAAGAGAGCUUAUCCUGAUCUUGGGAAGUGUCUGUACUUUGACCUGGGUUUUGGGACUCAUAGCGUGUUAUAUGAACUCCUGAACAAAAGGCUUAAUUGGAUUUGGUACAUCAAUCAGCCUGAGCCUGAACUGAAGGUAAACCUUCUGGUAUAAUCCUAAUUCUGCUUUUUUUCUGGUGAGUUUUCGAUUUUGUUAACCACCAUUGAAUGCUGUUAUCUUAAUCAGGAAAGACAACAUUGGCCAAAAUGUUUAUCUUCCUUGCAAUUUUCUAUCAAGUGAAGUAAAUAUGCAAUGCCUAACUUCUUCAAACAUUGUCAACAUGAAACAAUUAGUUCUCUGCAGACUUGAGUCUUGAUGACUAUGUGCAGUCCUAAUUUUGAAGACUUGUUUCCUCAGAGGAUAGCAAUGCAGUUUAUAGUAGUAGAUCACCUUAUCUUGAAAGGACUAUACAACUACUAUCUCCUCAGACCAGAACAUUCUUAGUUAAGAAUAUUUUCAGCCGUAGAACUCUUCAUAUGGUAGAAAAAAUCCACAUUUUGCUUAACACAGAUGCAUUAGGAAGCAUAAUAUUUAAUCAAUUGUAAAGUUCUUUACCAUCUGUUUAGGUGCGGCAAAACCAAAAUGGAACAACAGAUAAUAUCAUAUUUCUAAAAUUUCAUACAGGGAAACUCUGUUACCAUGAAAGUCAGCAGCGAAAUGAUCCAGGAAAUGCACAGAGAAGCAGAGAAAGUUUGGCUUCCUGAGUUAGCUAGAAUAAUGAAAGAAACGAAAGAACCUUUCAUAAACGUCAUAUACGAUUGUGAUCCUUUAGAGCAGAUCUUCUGGGACAAUGUGGUGUUGGUCGGGGAUGCGGCUCACCCGACGACUCCUCACGGUUUAAGAAGCACUAACAUGUCUAUAUCAGAUGCUGCGGUUCUUGGUUUGUGCCUCAAGAAAUGGGGACUUGAGAAUCUGCAUUCAGCUCUAUGCGAAUAUCAGUCUCUACGGCUUCCAGUCAUUUCCAAGCAAGUCCUACAUUCACGGCGACUGGGUCGCAUUAAACAAGGUUUGCCUGUUGUUGGCUGGGAACGGUUUGAUCCUAUGAUGUCAGGUCGUGAAGAGUGUCAAGAGCUCCAGCAGAGGAAUAUGCCGUUCUUUGAUGAAGUUCCCCUACCAGAGGACUCUUCAAUUUGAUGGCUUAAUUGAAGAACAAGGAACACUUUGCUACUAGAUUCCAGUCCAAAUGAAUAUAUUGUGGUUGUUAUUGUAAAUUGCGGGGCUGUAUGCAUGUCACUUACUGGUUUAGAAACUCAAUUAGCUUGUUAAGAGUAAGAUAGCUACAUUUCGCGUAACCACACUGUCCUUCAUGAAGGUUGAUGCCCAAAGUUUUCCUACUCAUGCAAAUCAGACAAGAAAAGACUAUCCUCAUUUUCAUUGAUCCAGAAUAUAUCAAGGGAAGCCGCAAAUAUGGAAAACUUCUAGGGGAGUUGUACAACCGUGAAGUUCUGUCCAAAAUAAUGAAUCAAGGCAUAUCAGUCGAGUGCCAUGGACGUGCAUACUACCCUGAGUCAUGGUGUUCACAUGAGCACUCAAAUUUCCUAGUGUCCCCAGCUCCAGGUCAUGUAAGUUCGCAUCCAUAUGGAAGAGGAAACUAAUUGCGGUAUAGACAUCAAACAGCUCCAAAUUUCUGCUCUCCUUUACAAUUGGCUUGUUAGAAAGCCCAACAACCCGCUUGUCAGAUAAAUUUAUUGUAAUGAAUACAUCUCCAUAGACAAAGCCCAACAACCUGCUUGUCACCCAUACUAAAGAUAUCAUCUAAUUCAUGUCUGUAUUGGCUAAAGCAGAUACCAGUUACGGUAAGGCUCUCAAAUCCGGAGUCUUGCUGAAAUCCUCAUAAAGCUCAGAUAAAGGCUCACAAACUGAUGUGCUCAGAAGCAUUCUCAAGAAAUACAUGUCCUCCUUUGCACCUAUCUUUCCAUUUGUAGUAGCAUAUAGUCACAUGCAAAGUAAAAAUUCUCUAAUUCGUAGUGAUCCAGCUUUACUCCAUUCCCUCAUAAUUAAUGAAAUAAGAGAAUAAACAGAGUCAACAUACACCGGUUUACAACUCUACAAAUGAACCAACUCAGAAUACAGAGUUCAGCAGGAGCACGGAACCAUAUCUCCAUUCUUGUUAAUUGAGCUCCUCAAGACCAACAAUUUACACGUUUUUGAAGGCCAUGUAGCUUGGGCUGACAUGAUUAUUCCCACAAUCACACCAAUUAACCCAAGCGCACUACCAAAGAUCUCUAUCACUAGGAUCUUGACAAAAAGCGAGGAGUUCUGAGCGUCUGACAGAGCACAGCGGCUUCCAAUUAUUCCCACGCAAAGCCUAUCACCAGGAACAUGUGGCAAUGAUUAUAAAUCAGAGAUAAAAUCAUGUUAAAGAAAGGAGACGUCUAUCCCAGAGAAAUCCAUCCUGAUGCAUAAGAAUGUAGGGUCGAGAGAUGAAGCCGCAGACAAGGUUUGCAAAGCCCCCAAUAAUCCCAGAAGCAAAGAUUGCAUAUCCAGCUCUAAGAGACUCCGGAGCAUAAAUAUGAGAUGAUGGAACACUUGGAGAGAGAGAGAGAGAGAGAGAGAGAGAGAGAAAAUAUGAAUUUUCAAAUAUAAUUAAAUUGCUCAAACAAUUGUAAGAUUUUCAUCAGAAAACAUCUAAAGGAUUAGCACAAACGCAACCAGUCUAGUACAAAACAGGACUUGUUAGAAUAGAGACACAGCAUUGCAUGCCAAGAUGCAAGAUGAAGCAAGUUUAGUUACAAUUUCUGCUAUGUGAAUGCUGCAGACCAACACCAAAGAAAGGAUCUAUAAGUCGAAUGAAAAGUUGAUUCAACAUUUCAGCAUGUUUUCUACAUCAUGCAAUUGCUCAGAAUUGUACAUCACUUUAUCUAGAGAUACAGAUCACAAGAGAUAAAGAAAAACGUAAGAGAUUUUGUGGAAACUUUAAGGAUAUAAUCCAAGUCCUCAAACCUUUCUAAUAUACGAUUUAGACAGAUUUAGAGGCACAAAAAGGAGCUAGGACAUUAAACGAUAAACCACACCCCCAUAUAGCUACUUGACUUUUUAGGCGAACUGAUGGUGGUGAGACAUAAACCUGUAUCAUAUAAGCGCAAAAGAUCCUAUAUUUACAUCUCAAAGUCCCUCAUUUGCCUUAAUCUGGAUUUGAUCCAAAUGCCAAGAUGUGUGUGAAUGGGAGCAAUAGAGUUUCGAUAUAUAAAACUACACUUCCAUCCACUAGCUUAAACAUUUAGAUCAACUGACAUGAUCUUAAAACACCUAGAAGAGCAAUCUUGCGGCAAACAUCAGUUUGAGAGAAACUUGGCUUGUAUACAAGAAGUAACAAAGAUCCCCCACGAAGUGGGCUCAGCCAGUUCAGACCUUUAUGUAAGAUUCAUGACUGAUCAAAGUCUACUUGACAGAAUGAGUACAUGAUAUGAUCUAAGUAGUAAGUGGAUAGAAUAGAAAGAGACUUAAGAUGCGCGCGAGCGCUUAAAGAUGCCAUUCCCUUAUCAUGGGGAGUCUUCCAGCGACCGAGCACACGUCAUCGACACUGCGGAAGAGCUUCAGUUGCACUCUUCCCUUUGCUCGGACUCGGAUCGGACUUGCGACGAAGAACGACGAUGAAUUGGAGGAAAGAUGGGCUUUUUGAAGCCCAAGCUCUUUUCUCUCCUCACCGGAACGGCCCAACAAUGGUUUCAGCCCAUUAACGGGGUGCAAGAAUUAAGAACGCCCUUAGCACUAACCAUGUGAAUAUUCUAGGAUCAUCAUGAUAGAGGAAGAAAGAAAAAAGACAAAGGUUACAUCUUUACUUGAACUUUUUAAUAUUUUACAAUCAAGAGGUACAUCCGAAGAAUACAAAUAGCAAAAGAAGGUACUCUAAUUUAAUAAGAAAAUUCAAUGUUUUAUUCUAUAACAAGAAGACUAGCUAUCUUAGAAGAUAACGAAAAUAUGUCUAAUAUCGCGCCGCCGAAUAAGCUCUCGGAUCGGCAGAGGGGCGAACUCGUUGACCAGCUCAAAUGUGCAUCUUGUGCGUCCCCCUCAAACCCUGCCAAAAGAUGUCGGCAAAAAAAAAGGGUUAAUACCCUGAAAAACCCCAAACUUGUAUACUUGUGACAAAUUUACCCACAAACUAUUUUUUUUACCAUGAAAAACCCCAAACCGGUACACCUAUGAUAAAUUUACCCGACUGACCAUAAAAAAACCCCAAACCGGUACAUUUAUGACAAAUUUACCCUAAACUAAUUUAUUCGACCACAAAAAACCCAAAACCGGUAAAUUUGUGACAAAUAUAUCAUCCGCUAAAUUAGAUUAAUACAAAAAAAAUCACAAAAAUUGUAAACUGUGACAAACGACGCGUAAAAUUCCAAAUCGAUAUACUGGUUAAUUGUCACGUGUCAUUUAAUUUAAUAAUUUGACAGUAAAAUUUAACGAAAACUAACAGAGGGUAAAUUUGUCACAAGUAUACCAGUUUUGGGUAAAUUUGUCAAUAAUAUACUAGUUUGGGGUUUAUGGUGGUCAAAAAAAUAGUUCGGGGUAAAUUUGUCACAGGUGUACCAGUUUUGGGUUUUUGAGGGUAUUAACUAAAAAAAAAAAGGACUUGCUGUCGUUAUCACUUUAAAACACAAAAAAUGAGACUGUUGACUUUUCAAUUCAUCAUCGUCGUGGAGUGAGAGAUUCUGGCAUAGAAAAGGAGAGUUCGUGUCAUAAAAGACAUGUGGAGAAGCGCUUGCCACCUUUAGUUGAUACAAGAUCAAAAGCAUUCAUCAUUAUGUUAUAGCUUACGGGUGAAAAACCUUCACACGUUCAACCUCCAACUUGUAACUUUCGUCCCACACGACAAAACUGUGCAAAUUCGAUUACUCAGCUAAACUUAGCCAAGAAAGUCAAAACUGUGUAAAUUCGGUUCUAUGAGAUUCACGACGAUUUCCAUUUUACGGAAAAGAAGGUCAAGACAUGCCAUGAUUGAGCUUAUCAACAUCGAACCGUGUCAAAUUCAAGUUUCACUGAAUUCGUGUCAUGUUUAGUUAUGUCAAAGGGGUGCUCAAUUUCAAUCAAAACACAACCAAUUAAGUGAGCAAAGAAACCUACUGUUGAUACAUGAUGUUGACGGCUGAGGCAAACUUGGCGAUCGUGUCGAACGCCGUCAUCGAGAGGACGAUGGUCGUGUCGUCACAUGAGGGACGCGAGGACAAAAACAGCACUCGAUCGACGAUUUGAACUUGGAUAGUCUGGUUGGGGAUGCAGAAGCCGGAGCCCAAGGCACUAGUGCAGUUUACCAGGUAUUGCCUCCCGCACGACGCUCCGUUGUCCCAGAUCCCUUCACCGGCCGCCGCAAAGAGGUUGCUCGAUGGGAACUGUCCUGGAUCAUUGCCAUAGCAUGCGGUCGCUGAAAAACAAUAAUCAAACUUAUGAGAAAGAGAGAGAGAGAGAGAGAGAGAGAGAGAGAUUGUACGUACGUGUGUAAGGAGGGCUGUAGGAAGCUGCGGUGCCGACAUAGGCACGAGAGAGACGAGGUUGCAUCAUCACCAGAAGAAGGACGAGGAGAAGUCGCGUUCUAGUGCGGGAGGGCUCCAUUUUCGCUGCAGAACGGCAGAAGAAUUUGGACCUUGGAGAGUUCCAAACUCUUACAAACGAUGCCUGAUCAGCCCGCACCCGCAGUGUCUUCAUAUAUAGUCUCAUUGAGAAGCUUCUAAUUUCUUUUAUGCCUUUGUGGUCCCUCUUUUUUUCCUUGCCGAAGCAUUAAACAACUCUUUUGCUGCCGGUCCGUACUUCAACAGGGUAGGUUUCCCCGCCAAAGCUGACCAAACGGCAAAUAGUAAUUUCGAGAUUCAAUGCGUUAUUUAUUAUUCCUAUUCUAGAAUAGAACAUUCCCCUCUUUAAUCGGUUUCUGAUCGAAGGGUAAUUUGACAGUGACAAGUGAAUAAUAAAUCAGUUUAGGUGAGACUUUUGUCAAAAAUUGACAAUCAAAAGAGGCGCAAAUCAUGCGGGCCAAACAAUGUGAUCAAUUGAUUACAAUCCCAUAAGAUUUUGUGAGACUCUUCAAACCUCUCACAUGUUAAUUGGACUUUGGCUUAAGCAUGAAAAUAUAUAAUUUGAGAGACAUAUAAGGGUCUAAAAAAGUUAAACUCGAACAUUUUACUUUGAUGCCAUAAGAGAUAUUGUGAGAUCACUAUCAACUAUUUUAAAGAUUUGAUUAGUUAUAAGCCAAUUGGAUAUAUUGAUUGUUUUGCACUAUACUAAUUUUCUAAUGUGAAACUUUUUAACACAACUUGCACAUGCAUAUCAACAACAAGCUCACAUGUAAUGGAGAGAUUGUUGGGAUGCACUCGUAAGUUAUGUUAGAAAGUCCAACAUCGGAGAAUUAAUGUAGUGUGAAGUAAUCAAUAUAUCUUAGUUGAUCCAUAAUUCAUUAGCUCAAGUUUUUAAAAUAAUUGAUAGUGAUCUUACAAAAUUUCACAUUUAGGUGCAAGGUUUGAAUCUUUCCAAACCCCUUUAGUUGCCUCCCAAUGGACAUCCUCAUGAUAUAUUUCUAUGCAAAAAUAUAGCCUAUACGUAAGAGAGAUUAUUAGAAUGUUCAAAUAUUAAAAUACACAUUCACAACAUUCAUAGAGAUUAACGCAAACCACAUGUGCAAGACCAUACUAUAUGACAAGAAAUUCAUACGGGGAAAGACUUCAUAAAAAAAAUUCGGACGAUUGAAAGAGUUGUAAGAAAGGCGUGGACAUAUAUAUGAUGAAUCUCUCCAAUUGAUCGUACUUCCUCAAAACGGCAAGCUCGGGCUAGUCACUAUCGCUUGCGAGGCGCUUGGGAGAAUGUGAAUCGAACAAUUAACUAAGAUGUCAAAUCCUUAAAUAAAUCAACUUUUUUUUCAUCAUAAUUUGUUGAAAUUUGAAAUUGUUUUUUCCAUUCAGUCUUUUAAAGGAGAAAAGUUUUUAAAAAGAGUGAGAAAAAAUAAAUGUAGAAUUCAUGCGUAUAAAGUAAGAAGUAAAAUUCCUAAUCCCAAACAAAGGAAAAAGUACCCAAAAAACCUCAUGAAUUUUAUUGUAUUAUCAUCAAUUCAAUCAUAAACUUUUUAAUUGAAUUAGUUUAAUCUUAAGCCUUUUCAUGUUGGUACCAAUUAAGUUCAUCCAGUCAAUUUAAGUCGGAAAUUACUUAUAUAGAUGUCGAUUAAAGCUAACGUGGACAUUUUUAAUAAUAUAUUAAUAGUUUUUUGAAUUUUUUAAAUAAUUUUAAAUUUUUCCUUUUUCUUUUCCUUUUCUUUUCGUCAUCGCCUUAGGCAAGUAUUGACCUUGCUAAGCUGUGCUUGGAUGAGGGCGACCGCCGGCCGUGCCUCGCCUAGGCCAAGACAGCCUUGCUUGAGUGAGGGUUGGGCUCAUCGGGCCUCACUAUCACCUAGGCAGGGUUAGCCCGAUCUCUCCCUCACCGGAUCUAGUGAGAGGGGCCUCGCCUGGUUGUGCCUAGAUGGCCAGUGCUUGCCCUUGCCAACCAUAACCACGGAUGACCAUGGCCACUGGCAAAAAGAAAUGGUAAAAAAUGGAAAAGGAAAAAAAUUCAAUAAAUUCAAAAAAAAUAUUAAAAAUAUCAAUGUUGGUGCCAACCUUACCACUUAAAAUAGCUGGUGUUUACGUAAGUAAUUUUCGAUUUAAAUUGGCCAGAUAUACUAAAUUGGUAUAAAAAAAAUAUUUAUGAUUAAAUUUUUUCAAUUCAAAAGUUCAUGACUGAAUUGAUAUCAAUAUAAUAAUUUUAAAAAUUUGUAAGUACUUUUCUGGUAAAAAAAAAAAAAAAAAGAGCCACGCUCUCCUCUAUCUCAAUUGAUAUUUGCCUCUAAUUUGUGCGUUAUAAAUAACUCCAUCUCCCUGUCUGCGUUGGAUACGGGUUAUGCGGUGAUUUAUGCCAACUAAAAAAAUAGCCUAGCAGCACUCACCUUUCUCCCUCUUCUCCCUCUUUCAAUUCUACCCUCUUUCCCUUCUACCUCAGAUCACGUCGUGGCUAUGCCGAAAGAGAGAGGAGAGGAGAGAGUUACAUUUUUUGGGGGGUUGGAGCUAGAUGGAUACGUUACAAAGAUAUAUCGGCUAAUUGAAUCGAGAUAGUAUACUGGGACUAUACAUAAUAUAAAGUAACCCCUUUCUCAGGUGAUCGAUAACUUGUCAAUUAGAGGAAUUUCUCGGAUGAGGAAUGAUGGGAAUUUGCCUCUGAAAGAUUGAAGAAGAACCUAUGUAGUAACAGCAACAAACCGUGGACUUGAGAGUCGUACCUGAUAAGCGGCUCGGAAGGAGGAGGUUUCAUUUCAAGAUAUUAUAUUGGCCAAAAAGGGUUACACAAAUAUAUAGUAUAAAAGACGGUGUAUCUAUACAUACACAAGCGGGCCCGCCGGAUUUGCACAACAAAGGAAGGUUUAUCUACAUACACAAGCGGGCAACUUUGUUUCGCGAAACUCUUGAAACUUUCUUCUGAACAGCUUGCUUGACUGGUCUUUUGGUUGCUUCUGUCAAUGAGGCAAGACGCCAAAACCCUCCCACCAAUCGAGGUGCUUGCUUUUCCAGCACCUAACUUAAGUUGAAACUGUGAUGAUUUCAUUGGCAUGAUCCUGUAAAGAAUAAUAGAGAUAAAGUCGGGGCAAUGACAGGAAACAAAAGCACUAAUAUCCAUUGAAUCCAGCUGGAAGGACGGUCCCAUCGCUACAAAAAGUCAGAUCCUUCUACCUUCAAGACCGCCCCAAAUCGUUGACCCUGCACAUCAUUCGAUGAUACAAAAACAUGACGGAAUGGCUUCAUCCCAUGAUCAUUGCAACGAAAUCUAGCGCCCCAGAUCAUGCGACUUCAUCACUAUUUAUAGGCUUUUUAGCUGCUGCACGUUCAAGGGACUCCGGAAUUCGAUCUUCUUCUCACAGUGCGAGGCCUCAAUCAUGCCUGCAGCGUUUGUCUCUUUGGACUGUUUACAGCAGCGGAUCACGUGAUAUCUAAUGAUAUGAUUAUUAGAGAGAGAGACAGAGGCAACUGUGAUCACGAAGGAUGCAAUGGGAUAGUUUCAUUUUUCAUGUCCCUAAUUUUAAUACGUGCCUACCACUGCACCAUGUAGCUUGCCCUUCUUCUUGCGUUCUUAUUGGGAUGAUGUGGCUCAGGGUGAUGGAGAGUGUCGCGAUGUUAUUGCAAUAUCCAACGACUAGCCCGUCUACAUAUCAUGUUCACACCUCGUUUUGAUGAUAUGCAUAGUCAAGUGCCUUAUCUUUUGACUUUGGAAGGGUUUUACCAAGUUUUAUAGAGCUUUUUAUACAUCAAUUUAAAUUCCAUAACAAAUUAUGAUUUUUCCGCUUGGGACGCGUUUCAUUAUGCCCAACCCCAUAGGUUGCAAGGCAGAUACUGCACAAAAGCUUAUAAAGUCACAAUAGACCUGUAAGAUAAAUGAUAUUGGAUAUAAGCUGACCAUAUGAAAAUGUGGAUAAAAUUAUUUAUUAUGUUUGUCACCACCAUUGGAAAUGCUUUUUUAGUAUGUUUAGAGGUUUGGUUAAUAUCAUACAUACGUUUUCCAAAUGAUUUGUGUGGUCAUCGAUGCUUAUGACUCUUUUUUGAUUCAUACGAAAACCUAACAAACCCGUCACUGUGGACCAUCAAAUUAGUGUGUGAUUAAUGCUCAAACUAACAAGGAUGACUUUGAUCUCCCAUUACGCGAAAUUUUGAGAUUGUACGGUUGACUUUUCGAUACAUUGAUAUUUGCCGUUAAGAGUAAGGGAAUGAGAUCCUCUAUCCCUUCGGUAUCUCCGUGCAAUAUCUCAAUGUCUAAUUUCGAAGCAUAUUCAAAACUGUUAUGCAUAUACAAAAUCGGAUUUGGACCAGUAAAUCUCGUGGGUCCCAUCAGAUUCAAACUUCUAAAUUCAGUUAAGUACAUUUAACACAAUCACCAAAUAAUUUCUGCUAUCUUGUAUAAAAAAUAUAGAACAGCAAAAUGAAAGCAGUCCUAUUCACUCAAGAUGGUCAAGGACAAGAAGGGCUAGGAAGAUCACAAUCGAAUUUGUUGAUCCUGUCGGUUAUCAACUAGGAAUAACAAGUUAAAAAAUGGUGGCAUCUCAGACUGUAUAUGCAACAACCAUUCCGCGUGAAUGAAUAUCAUCUUUAUGUACACACGGGAGGUAUAGAGGAAAGCUUCUUAUCUUGACUAUCCAGUGGUCCCCGAUGAAUGUGAAAAGAAUCAAGGAGGGCGAAUUCUAUCAAGUGGUGUCAUUUAAUAAUUGCCGUCAUAUACAGAACGAAUUUAAAAAAAAAAGUUGUAUUUUUGUUAUAAAUUAAGUUGGAUCGCAAUCGAUCGCAAUAACUAUCAGAAUUGUGCAAUAUGCAGAACGUUAAAAGUGCAGCAGAUGAGAGAAAAGUAGAACAACACAUUAGAGAUUUUUUACGUGGAAAAAACUCUACUAUAAUCAAAGGAUUACAAUUAACACUCGAACGGUGUUUCUCUCACAAUAAAUCUUCACAAUUGUCACAAAGCACAUCCUCCCUUGAAAAAAUCUUAAAAUCUUUCGUGUUUACUCACAUUGUUGAAAAUUCUUGUGAUCCCUCUGGAGUAUUUUCGGAUACUUUUUAAAUCUUCAUCCGAUCCUUCUAUUUAUAGUGGUAGACCUCCGCCCAAAUUAGGAAUCUUGCCUAAUCGGAUCACCUCCCAAUUAGAAAUUUUCCUAAUUUAUUGAAUUCCUUUCAUUUAGGCAAUCGUUGGAAUUAUAUCCUGGUAUUCUUCCUAAAUAAGACUAAUUCUUAUUUAGAUUUCUUCCUUUUCAGCGUCCUACCAUAAUAAGACUCAUUUCCUAUUAUGUAAUCUUGAUAAGCAAUGUUCGGAGUAUUCCAAAUCGACUCUCAAACAUGUUGAGUUGCUCCCAACAAAUCUACCCCCAGCCCAUCGUGGGCCUUAAACAUUCUUACCACUUAUUUGUUUUUUUUUUUUUUGGUCUAAACAUUCUUACCACUUCAAUAGGCCAGUCUCCUUCCUAAAUUUUUUUAGUUUUUUCGUGUGUAGAGACUUUGUCAACAUAUCAACACUAUUUUUGUCCGUGUGAAUUUUCUCGAGCUUUAAUUGCUUCUCUUCCAACAUUUCUCAUAUCCAAUGAUAACUAAUAUCAAUAUGCUUUGUCCUCGAAUGAGAUGUGGAAUUUUUACUAAGAUGAAUAGCACUUUAGUCAUCGCAAUGCACAACAUACUCAUCUUGCUUGUGCCCUAACUCUUGCAAAAAUCUAUGUAUCCACAAUAUCUUUUUGCUAGCUUCGGUGGCAGCUAUGUAUUCAGCCUCUAUUGUGGAUAGUGCAACGCAUUUUUGCAAUUUUGAUUGCUAAGAGACAACUCCACUUGCAAAAAUCAUUAAAUAACCAGACGUAAAUUGCUUGAAAUUUACAUCUCCCAUCAUGUCUGCAUCAUUGAACCCCUCAAGUAUCGAUUUUUCAUCGCCAAAACACAAAUACAAACUAGAUAUAUCUUUAAGACACCUGAGUAUCUACUUGACAGCCUCUCAAUGUUGUUUGUCGGGAUUUGACAUGUAUUGGUUAUAUUUGAUCAUGUGCACAUCGUUGCAUACAUGAGACUUCUGAUGGCAAAGGUAUAAGGAAUCUUUAGCAUCUCUUCCUUCUUCCUUUCACCUAAGGGACACUGCCUCAUGCUAAGAUAAAAAUGACUAGCCAAAAGUGAGCUAACUGCUUUAGCAUUGCUUAUGUUGAAUCUUUGUGCAACUUUCUCUAUAUAUCUCUCUUGGAAUAACCAUAACUUUCCACAAGCUCUAUUGCGUGAUAUCCUCAUCCAAAAUAUUUGCCUUGCCGAUCCAAGGUCCUUCAUGGCAAAUUCCUUACUCAACUCCUCCUCAAGCUUUAUAAUUUUUCUGAUAUCAUGCCCCACAAUUAACAUAUCAUUAGCAUAUAAUAAAAUAAUCAAAAAAUCACGGUCAUUAAACUUCUUGAUGAGCAUGCAAUGAUAUCCCAUCGUCUUCUUGUAUUCAUUCCUCUCCAUGAAUGAAUCAAACUUCUUGUACCAUUGUCUUGAAGCUUGUUUGAGCCCAUAAAGACUAUUGUCCAACCUGCAGACAAUAUUUUCCUUACCUUUGGUCAUAAAACCAUCCGAUUGCUCCAUAUGUAUCUCUUCAUCAAAAUCACCAUGUAAGAAUGUCUUUUAAUGUCGAGUUGAUUGACUUCCAAGUUCAAGGUUGCUGUUAAACCAAUAACUAUUCGAAUGGAUGACAUCUUUAAAACAUGAGAGAAAAUCUCCUCAUAAUCAACUCUCUUCUACUGACCGAAACGCUUUACCACCAAUCUUGCUUUGUAAAGUGGUUUGAGGCUGUUUUCUUUAGUUUUCAACCUAAGAAGCCAUUUUUUUUUUUAUUAUUACUUUUCGUCCUUUUGGUAGCUUCUCCAAAUCAUAGGUGUAAUUAUCAUGCGAGGAUUGCAUCUCUUCUUGCAUUACUUUCAUCCAUUCAUUCUUCUAGGUAUCAAUUUUCACUUUUUGGAAAUUCUCAAGUUCUCCCUUGUCAGUAAGAGCACAUACUCGUUUGGAGAGUAUUUUCAAUUAGGUUGUCUCUCUUUUGUUGAUCUCUUUGGCUACUCUUGAGGAACACCACCAACAUCAAUUGCUUCCUUCUCAACCUCAUCAUUAAUGACUGCAUUUCCACCAUCUUCAUUAUCAAUCUCGACCUCAACUCCUUUGGCGGCCUCAUCAUUAACUACAAUUUCGAUUUGUGCUUGCUCACCCACAUUAUGGUCGGCAUCUUCUUGAGCUCUCUUACUAAUAGAAUUUUCUAAUAAGCCUAAGGGCUCCAAGUCUACUAAUUCUUCCUCCACACUCUGAGGUUCUUCAUGUUUCUUGAGGUCUCUGAUAGUUUGAUCCUCAAGGAACAUCAUGUCUCGGCUUUUGAAUACCUUCUUGCUUUUGAUACCCUCACAUUCUAUAGCUAAAAUCUUCAUGAGCAUAUCCCAAGAGUAUGUACUCCUUGGCUUUUCCAUCAAGCUUAGCUCGUUCAUCUCUUGGUAUGUGUGCAAAUGCUUUGCAACCAAACAAUUUCAAGUAACUGUAAGAUGAAUUCCUACCAUUUCAUACACUUUGUGAUGUCUCACCUUUUAGUUGAAUCGAAGGUGAUAGACUUAUCAAGUCCACUACUGUCCCCAUUGCCUCCCCCCAAAAGGAGUUUGGCAACUUCGCAUGGGAGAGCAUACACCUUAUCCUUCCACAUAUUGUUUGAUUCAUCCUCUCGGCAAUGCCAUUGUGUUUUGGUAUCUUAAGCAUUGUUUUCUCAAGCCUUAUGCCAUGAAUUAUGCAAUAAUCUUCAAAUGGCCCUCAUUAUUCCCCGCCAUUGUCAACCUUCACGCACUUUAAUGUUUUGCCAAUCUCUCUUUCUAGUUUCACUUGUAAAAUUUUUGAAGGUAUCAAGAACUCAGUCCUUCAUCUUCAAUGUGGUAGCCCACACCUUCCUUGAGAAAUCAUCUAUGAAGGUAACAUAAGAGGAUGACCACCAGUAGUUCUUGAAGUCAUAGGACAAACAUCCGUAUGUAACAAAUCAAGUCGAUUAGCCUUUUUCAAUGGUAGAAUAGAUUUAAAGGCAACUCUAUUUUUUUUUUCCUACAAUGCAAUCUUCACAAGGGUUUAUAGAGGUACCUUCUAUUUUUGGGAGUAAAUUCUUUGAUGCGAGAACCUUGAUUCCAUUCUCAUCCAUAUGCCCAAGCUUUUGGUACCAAAGCUCGGUGGAUGUCUCCCUCACUGCAUUAACAUCUUUACCGCAUAGUUUUACUUGUAAAGUGUGGAGUGAUAUGCUUUUCACUUCUCUUACUACCACCAAGCUGUCCUUGGUUAACUUCCACUUCCCAUCCCCAAAAUGACUCACAUGACAGUCAUCAUCUAACUUUCCUAUGGAGAUAAGGUUAAGGUGAAUAUUAGGGACAUGCUUUACCUCUUUCAAGAUCAGCUUGCAUCCAUUAUUGGUCUUGAUCUUAACGUUUCCUAUGCCAACAAUCUUUGAUGAGCCAUCAUUACCCAUCUUCCCAAGACCGAAGUCUCUAGCUAUAUAUGAAAAGAAAAAUUCUCUCUUGGGGACUACGUGAAGGAGGCUCUAGAAUCAACUAGCCAAGUGGUAUCUUGGCAUGUUAAGUUAACGUUUUCAUUAGUGCGGAUAAUCAUCAUGUCUUCAUUAACCGUGAUGACAUUUACAGCUAAUGCUUGAACUUGCUUUUUGGUUGCCUUGAAUUGACAAUCUCUAAUGAGAUGUUUGAUUUUUACACAAUGAAAACAAGCUCUUUGUUAACCAUUAGUCUUUAAAGUUGAACAACCUUUAGGUCCACGGCUUUUGCUCCUCUCACAAACUACUUUCUUCUCCGGUUCGUUGAUAAUAAGAGUUCUUUCACCAUGGUUAUAGUACCCCCCAUUCUUAUACCUUUGCUCUUCACUUAGCAAUUGUCAUUCACUAACUCCACAGUCAAUGCUUCAUCAGGUGUUGAAUUGUGAAUAGACACAACUAAGGUGUCUCAGCUUUUUGGCAUAGAACCUAUCAGGAAGCACACAUGCAAUUUCGGAUUAAUCAUCCUCUCCAUUGCAUUGAUUUGAUUAACCAAGCCUCCUAUAGUACCUAUGUGUUCAAAGAAACUUGUUCCAUCUUUGUACUCCAUACACAACACCUUCUUUAUCAGGCUUGCUACGUUUUGAGAUGUAUUCCUUGCAUAUGUUUGCUCCAAAUUUCUCCACAAGUCAUAAGUAUUGUUUUCUUGAGUGAACUUUUCAAAGAUGCUUUGAUCGAGCCACAUUCUAAUGGUGCCAACACAUCUUUUGUUGAGGAUAGUCCACUCAUCCUCCUCUUCUUCUUCCGCUCCAACUUUUGCCGAUUUAGAAGCUAAUGUCGAAGUUUUUACCAUGCCCUUUGGGGGCAUUCUUAUCUUGAUUGGCCUUUGCAACCCUUUGAUGUAGAGAUGAUCCUCCAUCUUGCACCUCCAUAUUACGUAAUUUGUAGCCAUGAGCAUGAUCAUGUUGACCUUGUCUUUUGACAUCUUUUACAACUCGGCUCUAAUACCACGUAUUGUAAAUUAAGUCAAGUCAUAAUUGAUCACAGCAGAAUUCUAACUGUCAGAAUUGCGCAAUAUGCAAAACAUAAAUACACAACAGAUGAGAGAAAAGAAGAAUGACACACCAUAAAUUUUUUACAUGAAAAACGCCAAAUGGGAAAACCAUGGGAUGCUAAUCCAAGAACUCUCCACUGUAAUCAAAUGAUUACAAUUAACACUCUAAUAGUUUUUUUUCUCACAAUAAAUCCUCACAACUGUCACAAAACACAUCAUCUCUUGAAAAACUCUCAAGAACUCUUGUGUUUACUCACGUUGUUGAAGACUUCCAUGAUCUCUCUAGAGGAUGUUUUGGUGCUUUUUAAAUCUCCAUCUAAUCCUUCUAUAUAUAGCGGUAGACCUCCACUCAAAUUAGGAAUCUUGCCUAAUUAAUAAUUACCUUCCAAUUAGAAACUUUCCUGAUUUAUUAUAUUCCUCUAAUUUAGGUAGUCAAUAGAAUUAUAUCUUGGUAUACAGCCUAAUUAAGACUAAUUCUUAUCUACAUUUUUUUUCUCUUCAGCGUCCUACCAUAAUAAGACUCCCUUCUUAUUAUGUGAUCUUGAUGAACAAUCUUUAGGAUAUUCCAAAUCGAUUCCUAAACAUGUUGGGCUGCUCCCAACAUUUUUUGGGACUAUGACACACACCAACCGCUGGCCUCAAAGAUUAGUCAAAAUCAAAUCUGCGUACUAAUUCUCACGGGUAGCAAAGAGGGCAUGACCCAUUGGCAAUUGACCAAGUAGAAGACCGAUACGUAACGCAAUUUGGACGAGGAUCAGUUGUAGUUUUACUCCCGUGUCAUCACAUCCCAACAUACAACUCUCUAUCAUAUCAUAAUUAUGCUCACACCAGCAUGCUACAAUGUUUUUGCGGUGCAUGACGUGAUACAUCAAGUCUUCCUACUCAAUUAAUUAGCAAAUACCUAACACAGUCAAAAUAGAACUGAGCAUAGAAAUUACACUUCACAAUAGCACUUGAAAAGGGUGAGCUUGUUUCGCCUAAAACUUUAUCGUUCAAGGAAAUGGAUUCACUUGAAAUGCAUUUUCAAGGAAAGCGGUUGAUUUUAUUUUGUUUGGUUGCAAGCAUGAAAAUGAGAGAGAAGUAAUGUCACGCCGCAAACCCUCGAACAUCGGUCCCAUCUCAACUACAACUCAACAUAUGGACCCUCGCCUGGCAUCUGAUAAAAAUCGGACAUUGUCCCCAAACUCCCAUUAGGUGACGAGUUCCUUUAAGUAAGCACUCGAGCACAUCAAUACUUAUGCCAAUUUCAUUUCCCAUUAAUUAGCCUAAUGCAAAUAUGAUUUGUGUUCAUACUACAAACUUCGGCAAUUUUCACACAUAGAAUUUGCAGUAAAAUAAUCACACGUGGUCACGUGCAUAGAAUCAACCUAUCAAGUUUUGCAUACUUUUAUUUUAAAACUCAUUGCCCCAAUUGAGACAUAAAACAUGUCGUUUGAACAUUACACCUUGUGAAUUACCAUUUAUAUAUCCAUAAAACCUUUCCUUAAUAUAGUAAUUAAGGUUUAUAAAUUGGGCAAUUAUUUUCCAAGGCAUAACAAGCUUCAAACAAAUAUACAUAAAUUCAUCUUCGAGCAUAAAUUCUACUUAUUGACUAAACUAUCAUUAAUUAGUGCUAAUGGUCAUUAAUUAAGACUAAUUGCAAUUAAUUAAGAUUAACUAUAAUUAAUUAAGAUAACUACAAUUAGCCUUAAUAUAAACCAUUAUUAGUCACAAUUAACAAUAAACCAUUGUUAAUUAGAGCUAGGCUAACUAUAGUUAGCCUUAAUCUAAACUAGCCAUAAAUGCAAUUAACACCCCUACUCAUGGAUUAAGAGAUUAACUCACGGUUUAUGGUGACAACGAGCUCACAGCGACAACAACACGAUGGCGAUGAAGGCGUGAUGUUCGAGGUUCGAACAGCGACACAAAUGGUGCGGCUCAGCAAAGCUUGGGCUCACAACCAAGCUUGGGGAGGGGCGGCUUGAUGGAGAUGGCGGUGGUGGCUCGCGGCUGUGAACAUGGCACGGACGAGCGAUGGUGGAAGUGACGGUGGUGCUGGUGGUGAAUGGUGAUGAACAAAGGAAGAAGAAGAAGGAGAUGAUGAUGAUGAUGAUGAGAGUGAAAAUGGAGAGGGGAAGAGUCAACCAACUAGGGGAAUGGAAAAAAGGUGAGGGGGGGGGGAUUCUUCAUCAUUUCCCCAUACCAACUCUCCUUACAUUACUCUCCUCCAUGCAACUUUUCCCUUUUGUAUUAUUCUUCUUAAAUGCCAAAAACCUUCUAGAAAGGGUAUCUUGGUCAUUUCACAACAUUUAACCAAAAUUCCCAUUUUGCCCUUGUAUCCAAAUACUUGAAAUGGGCCUAGAUGGGUUUGGUGGGCUUGACUUGGGCCCACUUGGUUGAAUCCAAUAGGCAUGAGGCCCAUUGGGACUUCACUUGGCCUAGCUCCCUUUUUCGGCUUUGAAUUCUCAACCUACUAAGCCUCACCGAAAAUUUAAAGCUUACCAAUGAAUUGACGGAUAAAUGAGGCAACGUCUAAUAAGUUGGUUUUGAAAUCCUCAAAAGGUCGAUACUCGAAAUCGAAUUAAAUUUCGUAAUUAAAAUCGAUUAAAUGUGACUUUAAUAUGACAUAAACUAUUAAGUGGCUUUAAGGAGUUUCGUGCGUUUGACUUAAGGUUGAUAAUUUUCGACUCAAAUUUCUGCCUCUUCAAAUCGUGAAUGACCUUCAGUUAUCAUAUAAUUGAGAUAAUUUAAUUACCCACUUUGAGUACAAGAUCAAUAGAAAAUUGGUUUAUUGUCGUUUGCAGCAAAUAUCAUAAUCGUGCAGAAUCACUCACGAACAGACUAAGUAAUCUUAUCAAAUCGAUUUACAUCCAUUCACUAAUUGACUUAUAACAACGUAAUAUUGUCCCCUAUCGAUUCUUAUGAUUGAGCGGUUUAUCCUUAAUUGAAUUCUCUGGUUGUUCGCAUGUUAAUCCUUCAAGGCCUCUCCCAAUAAAUUAGUUAACUCAAGAGUUAUCAAUUUAGAGUAAAUUUAACUAUCAAUGUAUUAAUGAAAUAACCAUUUCAUAUAUUUCGAAAUGUGUCAAAUUUCAAGAUAUCGUGAAUAGUGUAGAGAGACAAGUCCUCAUUAGUGUUGCAUCAGUCCAAAGUCUCAGCAUGUCAAUUUUAGCUAAUGGGAAACAUUUUCUGUUGACCAAUUCAUUUUUCGACGUCUAAAGAAGGGCAAAGUCCAUAAACAUAUUCCCGAGAAUGGUUGAACUCCUAACAAACUCACCCUAAUUUUAAAUACAUUGCAAUGGCAAUUUUUUUUCUUUGCACAAUUCUUGUUCGUUGCCAUUGAUUGGGAUAGCUGUUGAGUUUUCAAGGGAGGACUGCCCAAACCUAUGGUGAUGGAUGUGGGUCGCGUAACAAAUGAAUGAAAUAGGCUGCUUACCAUAAUUAAAAGUCUCAAAAAAAAAAAAUUAGAACCCUCUUAUUUCAAGAUUACAAGUUUUGUGAAACAAUCAUGUUUUGCUCAAGCUAAUUACAAGGUAGUAUAUAUUUCUAUAGUAACUUUACAACUAAAUUUUUCUUUAAUUAAAUAGCUAUACAAAAAAUAUCAAUUUUUUUUUUGUCACGGGAAUUCUUAUCAAAUAAGAACUCUAUAUGAUAUAAAUAUUAAAAUUUACCCAACAAGAUAAAUGAGUGAAUCAAGCACUAUUAACUACUGGGAUUCGCCCCAGUGGCCACGAGGUGAGGGGUUCAAAUCCCCACCUUUUCAAAGGGGGAUGGGGUGGGGACGCGUGAGUUUCAAGAGUGGGUUUCGACUCCUACGCCCUGCAAGAGGUAAGGCAAAAGUCUGAGAGUGAGUAUAGAGUAGGGAUAGAGUAGGACUGACAAAAAAAAAAAAUCAAGUACUAUUGAUUGUUAAUCAUUUGGUGUUGUAAUGAUCACUCUAUGCUUCUUCUUUUUUUUCUUUUUCCCUUUAUGCUACAGAUAAAGUUUAGGCGACACAUGGCUCGCUAACAAGCGAACAUGAAAUCUGUCAAUGACCCAAUUGUCUUCUACUUCUCAAUACCUUCUGCACUCGGUAGAUUCCACUUCCUGCAACCAUAGCCUGAACCAGCAAUCCAAAGUCCCAACCAAAUGAGACCCAACAAUUGGGAGACUUGGACGGUCUCUCCUUCUUGUAAAUUAGAAACACAGAGCAAUUCCUGGAGAAGACACAACAGAAGUCAUGAAUCCCGGUCGUGAUUUUCCUGGUCAAGAGAAGCUGAAGCUGAAGGCCGUGAUCGUCGGAGGGAGCAUAGCAGGUGUGUCCUGCACACACGCUCUCAUUCGGGCAGGGUGGACGUUGCGGUCAUAGAGAAAUCGUGCAAGCUCCGAAAGGAAGCCCCACCAGUGCAGGACUCAGCUUGGAUCGGCUCUCUCAGGAGUUCAUCGGGUCCUGGACAGGGCGCCCUGAUCUUCUUCGUGACAUCACCUGUCCUCUCUGCAUUGAUCUACUAAGGAAACUUCAUAUGACGAACUCAGCCUUAUUGAAAGUCCUGAGGUUUGAGUUAUGAUAUGUAUUGAAGUAUAAGAUCACAAUUACUGGAGAAUUGGCGCAGAAUGUCUUUCUUCUAGCAGCAUGAAAUUUAAGUUCUUGCUUUGCUUGACAGUGAGGAGAGAUGUUAAGUUCUUCAAUGAGAUACGGUUCCUUUUCUUUGUUUCUUGUUAAACAUAUAGACAUUGAUCAUGUUUGUUAUGGAGCAGUUAACAAUGUAUCCUCGUUCUUACCAAAUUCUUAUGCUUCUAUUUGUACCAGAGCCAAGCAAUCGAUGAUGAGAUAACCAGGAAGAUACUAGCAAGAGAUGAUAAUUUCAAUCAUGAAGCAGCACAUUGGGCUACUCUGCAUGACCACCUGUUCACUGCAUUGCCACCAGAAAUAUUCCUCCAGGGCCAUCUUUUCCUCUCUCUCUCUGUUUCCAAGAUCGGCAAUCAGUCAAAAUCAAGGCCCGAGUUCUCAGCACUGGUGAAACCACCGAAGUAUACGGAGAUUUGCUCAUCGCUGCAGAUGGAUGCCUCUCUAAUUCGCAAUCACUUUCUUCCCAUUGUCAAACCAAGGUGGUUACUUCUUUGUCCAAAUUGUUAAGCGCCAAUCCCCAACUUAGACAUUUUGUUAGCUUACCAUAAUUAUGUUGAUAUUAUAGACAUUCUGGCUAUUGUGCCCGGAGGGAAAAGUGCCAAAAAAGUCCUAAACCUUUUGCCUUUGUGCCAAUUUAGUCCUAAACAUUUUUUUGGUGCCGAUUCAGUCCUAAACCUUUUUAAGUUGUGCCAAUUCAGUCCUUUUGUUCUUUUCGAGAUCCCAAACAAAAGGCUGAACUGGAUAUGGUAUUUAAAUCAACCUGAACCUGAUGUGAACAACUUUUAAUAAUAUUUUAAUAUUUUUUAUUUUUAAAUACUUUUAAUAUUUUUUAUUUUAUUUUUGCAAAUGAUCAUGAUGGAAAUUGUCGUAUAGUUUUCCUGUUUAUUCAAAAGAUUAGUUGGAGGAACUAAAUGAGCAUCCCUCAUAGAAGAUCUGGGUAUUGAUAUAUCCCAAAUUCAUUAAAACCUAGAUCACAGAAAUCAUCAUAGAUGUGUCUUUAUACGUGCAUUCCUGUCCAUUAGUCCCUUGCGCCUUAUAGUAUAUGAUAUUUAGUCUGUUAUUGACAAAUACAGGGAAAUUUAGUUACUACAAAAGUAAGGGAUGACUUGAUUCCGAAGAUGUACCAAGAUGCAGAGAAAAUUUGGCAUCCAGCUUUAGUUCAGCUCACGAGAGAAACUGAAGAACCUUUCAUAAAUGCCAUUUACGACUGUGAUCCACUAGAACAAAUAGUUUGGGACAAUGUGGUACUUGUUGGUGACGCAGCACACCCCACGACUCUGCACAGCUCAAGGAGCACAAACAUGUCGAUUCUGGAUGCUGCUGUCCUAGGCUGGUGCUGGGAGAAGUAGGGAUUGAAAAAUCUAACAGCUGCUCUUGAAGAAUAGCAAUCCAUUAGGCUACGUGUUGCAUCCAAGCAAGUCUUGCAUGCCCGGCAAGUCGGGAGGAUAAAACAAGGCCUUACGCUUCCUGAGUGCAAACCUUUCAAUCCUAACACAGCCACUUGGGAGGAUUGCAAGAUGCUUCUGCAGAGAGGCAUGCCCUUCUUCAGACAUAAUCCUUUGCUCCAAGCGAGCGACCUUUUAUUGUUCGGCAAAUAGUGAUCAUCUCAUAUAUGUUGCCAUUCUGGUGGUGUCAAUGUUGAUAUCAGACAUGUCACGGAUUAUUUCUAGCUCCAGCUGAAUAUGGCAAGAGAUGUGUCUUUUUAAGUAUCCGACUUAAACAGGAUUAUCAUGGAUGGUGACACUCAUAUUAGACUUGUGUUAGAGAGUUAAUGAUCAUUUCAUUUACUGAAACACUAUUUAAUGUAGCUAUUUCUUGUACCAGUUGCAAUAGCCCUUGUACAGCAGCACAAAACUUGUUCUUCACUCACACAAAUUAGUCAACUUGAUUUAUGAAUAAGAAAAGUACCAUGAUCUAACAGUUUGUCAAGGCUAGCACUCUGCGCAUUCGCAUCUCAAUCAAUAAGAAAGCUAUGGAUUACUUAUCAAAAUGAAAUAGAAAUUUUUAAUGGAGUAUCUUUAAACAUCCGAAAAGAACCUUGGUAGCACCUGUGGUUCAACCAAAACAUUUCUGUUUUCACAAUACAGCAAACAUGUUGAAGCGAUCGUCCAUCAUUUACAGGGCUAACGUAGCAUCAAUUACAAUUCACAUGCUCACAUGAUAGGCAUCACACAUAAAUAUCAUUUUUUGAAAUUAUCUGAUAGUUUUGGCAAAUAUCAUGGCCAUAUAAUAAAAAUACUGCACAAAAUAUCUGGUUGUCGUCGUCUAGCUAUUACUCAAUAAUUCUGAGCCAAACUGCUGCAUGUUUUGACUGAACAUCAGGAACAAAACACACAAGCCACAAGCUUUCAUGAGACAAUUAUGUUCAUAGAUUCCCAAUGAAGGGUAAAGACGAAGAAACCAAGAAACCCACAAAGCCCGAGGCCAAGGCAGUGAUAGUUGGAGGCAGCAUCGCAGGAUUAUCCUCUGUGCACAUGGUCAUUUUAGCAGGAUGGGAUGUCAUCAUCGAGAAAUCGAACACGACGCCAACCUGGAGUUCUGCUAGGGCGGGCCUCGGGAUCGAACCCUUCAGCUCGGUAGCAGAUCGAGGCGGAUUGGAAGGGUCCAGCAACUCCACGACGCCUCUUUGCCUCUCGUUUUGACCAGGUCACUCUGUUGUGCGUUUUCUGAGUUUACGAGGACAUAAAAAGAUAUGUUUCUUCGAGUGGUUCAGACUCGAAGAAUAAGUGAAAGCUUUUAAGUCAGCUAAAACGAUUAGGUUCAGCUUCAAUGCGUGAAGCUUCAGUUCAUAUCUAGCUAAGAGAAUGCGCAAAUUACAACUGAUACAAAAGCCUUAAAAGCUAGAAGUGUGGUUUUCUUAGGAUAGCAAUUUAAACAGAAAAGUCACAAUAGGUUUCUGUUUGGUUCAGCCAAAAAAGGUAUUUGUGGUGAAUCUGGUGAUAGGUUUAAUUAAGUGCAUCAACAUUGGAAAGACAACUGUGUGUAUGAUUUAUGCGCAAGAACAGAGGUUUGUUUUCAGUUCCUCUCUGCUGUAGCCAAAAAGAAGUGGAAAAGAGAGAACGAAAAACGUGCAAGAUGUGAUAUCUCACAGAUUGCUCCUGUAAAAUAAGAAGAGGAUCAUAUAUUGUUUUUGCGAAAAAAAAAAUCAAUUGUUCCAUUGCCUUAUUAUGGUUUCUAGUGUUAGUCACGCCAUAUUAGACUUGAGUUUGCCUCAGAAUGAGUUGGACUACGUGGUUCCAUUCAAUCCAAUCAUUGCUAAUUUCCCGAAAAACAAUGCAGAACAAUGUGAUGGACGGUGAAAAGAAGGUGAUCGGGGUGCCCACAAGGGAUGAGGAAUUCGAUUUCAGAGCAGCACACUGGACCGACCUCCACGGGCUUACCCAUGGGGAAUUACCGUUUGGUGUUGUGUUAUGGGAUUAGCGUUCCCGUAGGACAGCCUAUCUGAUGACAACACUGAAGUCAAGGUCAAAACUCGACUUCUCAAGACUAAUGACACCAUCAAGAUAAGCCUUAACUUGCUUCUCGCAGUAGAUGGGCGGUCUUUCUUUCGUUCGACAGAGUUUCUGGCCCGACAGUAAACUGGAUCUUUCUGAAACCAGUGAAUUUAGGCCCCCAUGCCAUUGUUUUAUUGCAACAUGUGAACUUUUAGUGUGAAAUGAUAGCGACUGUUUUAGUGCAUGGCGUGGAGUUCUCGAUUUCUCAGGACGAGAGAAUUCAGAAACCAUUUCAGGGAUCGAGAGAGCUUACCGUGAUAUUGGGAAAUGUCUGCACUAUGAACUGGGUUCUGGGACUCAUGGCAUACUUUAUGAACUAUUGAACAAAAAGGCUUAAUUGGAUUUGGUACAUGUGACGAUUCAGACCUGGGGCAAUACGGAGGGAUAGAUUGAGAUCGCAUUGGCAGUACGCGGGUGAGACCAAGGCAUGUCUCCUGUCCCACAUUGUUUAGGGAGAGAGUCAUCAGCUAGUUUAUAAAGGCUUGGGUCCCUUUAAUCUGUAUAAUGCGUUUCACGUACACUUCCGCUGUGCUGAAAACAAAGCCGUGAGGGAGGACGGGCCGGUGGGCCAUGCCUCCAAAGUGACAAUAUUAUGGCUUGGGAGAGGGAAGGCCCGAGGGAUGGCCCUCUGUCCCUGCAUAACACGUUUCAUAUAUGCUUUCGCUGCACUGAAAACAAAGCCAUGAGGGAGGACGGGCCGGUGGGCUGUGCCUCCAAAGCGUACACGUUUCACGUAUGCUUCCACUGCGCUGAAAACAAAACCGUGACUACCCAGACCCGCGUGAGGGAAGACGGGCCAGUGGGCCGUGCCUCCUAAGCAGACAAUAUUAUGUGGCUUGGGAGAGGGAAGACCCGAUUGAUGGCCCUCUGCCCCUGCAUAACACGUUAUAAAGCCGUGAGGACUCAAUGUCCAAGCGGACAAUAUUAUACAGUGGGACCCGGGUUGUUACAGUACAUUAACUGUAGGUAAUCUUCUCAUAUAAUCUUAAUUCUGCUUUUUUGUUAAAAUAUUUUCGGUCUUGUGAAAACACUGUUAAAAACACUGUUAAAUGCUAUUGUCUUAAUCGGGAAAAGAACAUAUCACGCCCCGAUUCUCAGGCACGCAUACAUCCCUUACCUUUGGUCGAUUUUAAAAAGCGAUAUCCCAGAACGUAUCGCCGACCCUUUUUAUUUUAAUAUGCACAUGCAGAAACAAUUAUAAUCCCCAGACAAUAAAACAAUAUGAUAGAAAAGUAAUGCCAUAUUUUUCAUAUUGAAAUUCACAACCAAUUUUUUAUAUAAACACACCUCAAAGUAUUUUACCAUACUAUUCAUAAAGGUCUAGUUUCAUACUCAACCACCUACAAACAGGGUUCACAAAGAGGAUGGGAUCAUAGUCUUCAUCCAUGUCGUACUCGGAUCAUCAUCGAGGUUCUCCUCCAGGUACUCCUCUUUUGGUUCUUUCUCCUCAAGCUCCUCAUCAAGGUCCUGAAAUGUUGUCCCACAACCAGGAUGAGACUACGUCUCAGCAAGUUCCACCCCCUAAGACUCGAUUAGUAAACCAAUAUGCUAUCUGGGCUGCCUAUGCACGCACGGGUCAGAGGACUUACCUUGGCCUUGGAUUCCACCUGCAUAUUAACAUAGUUCAAUAGGCACCAAAGCAAUCACAUCAUAGAUUGAUAUCUCGAUUAAUUGACCUAGUCGAUUUCAUGUCAAUUCGACCAUUCUCCGGUCGUUUCAAUCAAUACUACCUAUAAAUCCGAUCAUACCAGGACUGCUUAUUAUAAGCCGAUAAUAAGUAGUAUAGCUCACCAGAAGCGGCCUCAAUUACUGAGAUAAUAUACUAUAGAUUUAUGCUCGCCAAAAGCUGCCUCAAUUCUAGAUAUAGUAUAUUAUAUAUACUCAUCAGAGCUACCACAAUUAUCAAUAUAGUAUACUAUAGCUCACCAGAAGCUGCCACAAUUAUCAAUAUAGUAUACUAUAGCUCACAAGAAGCUGCUAGACAUACUUUUAUAGUAUGCUGAAAAUUAAUCAUUUAAUCAAAUCACAAUUUUUAUCAUUUUUGAUAAAAAUACUCAUGCGUGGUACACGGUCAGCCUUAGCCAAAAUAUUAUAAUUUCCUUUCCACAAAUCACACCAUUAUCUGUAGUCCACCAAAACACUUUUGGUGCUGUCAACCGACACCCGGUUAUUUUCCAAUUAAUAACCAAAGAUUAUUCCAUUAAAGAAUAAUUUCCAAUUUCACAAACAAUUCAAUUUAGCAAAAAAUAAAGCUCAAUUAAAUAAACCGAUUGCACUACGACAAUCAGCAUAAAAUUCCGGUCGUCAGCUAUCCUUGCCUAAUUUCCGAAAAAUAAAUAAAUAAUUAAAUAAUUUCGAAAAUUAAUAAAUAAAUACUAAAAAUCCAAUUUAUGCCCGUAAUGCCUAAUUGAAGCCUGAUAAGUGUCGGGAAAAAUCCUGAGAUGCAUUCAAUAAAUAUUAGCACAUGUUAAUUCGCUAAUUCAACGGUUCAAUUGCCUAAGAUGCAUCAUAAUUAUCUAAUAAUCACUAAUCUAUUCUAACCUAACCACCUAAUUGCACUUAAUUAAAUCUAAUCAACCCUUAAGCAUAAUUAACAAAUUAAGAAAGCAUUAGUGAGCAAAACUCACUCGAUUGAAAGCGAAGACAGGAUCAUUGCAAUGGCAGCGUGACGGCGGCCGAAACCCGAACUUUCGGCAGCGACAACGUACACUUGGGCCGAGCCUAAAACAGGCCCAACAAAUCUCAAUCCAAUAUGAGAUUUUCUUUUGAAUUGGACCGGGCCUAAAGCGGGCUGACUUCGCGGGCUUGGGCCUGAAAAUCGCGGGCUUUUGAAUUGCUGGGCUUGAAGACUUCAACUGGGCUUGCAAAGCAGGCUGCUGGACUCACUUGGACCGAACUCCACUAGCUUGUGGGCUGAAGAGGCUUACACUGGCUGCUGGGCCGAAUUUUCCUAAGCUGAGGCUGAUGAUUCUGUGGGCCUGGAUAUUUGCUGAAGAUGGGCUGCGGCUUACACGAAGAUGGGCUCACGAAAUUCGCUGGAGACGGGGCCGCUUCGGUUCGGUGAGAUGAAGUCAGCUUGAGGAGCGUCGCUGAUCUUUGGUCGCAGCGAAAGGGGCAGGGAACUUCGGACUUCUGGACAGCUCACCAAAACCGAAAGAAGAAGAAGGCAGCUGGCUUCUUCGGUGGACGCUGCUUCAAUCAACAAAACCGAAGGUCUUCGCAGGAGAUGAAAGCAAGCAGAUUCGGUGGGCUUCGGUGCUGCUGGACGCGUGGGCGUGGACUGCAUGCGGUCAACCAAGGGCUUCCAUGGUUGAUGGUUGACCAAGGUGAGCUAGGAAAUUGGCAAGUGGCGUGGGUGAGUGGGGGAGGAUUCGGUGGCCGCUUAAAUGGAGAGAAAAUGAAACUUUGGUGGAGGAAGAAACAAGCUAAGGGGAUGCUGUCGUGAGAGAAAUAAAUGGAGAGAGAGAGAAUUGAAGGGGAUGAAGUUGCGGUCUUCGACGGAAAUGAGGGGAAACGGCAACAAAGAAUAAAAAAGAAAAGGAUCGAAAAGCCGUGAAGAGGAAGCCAAGGAGGGGGGCCCAAAAUCAUCAAACUUAUCCCUUUAAUUCAAUGCUUGGUCUCCUUUAAACUUGCAUAAAUAUCUCAAUGUCCCCCAAAUACUUUCUCCAUGUUAAAAUCCCACAAAUUAGCAAAUUUUGAAGCCAAAAUUCCAGCUCCCCAAGGCUCCGAAUUUUCAAUUUUCAGACUUCGAUAUCUUCGACAAAUUCCCCAUAUUUGAUGUCCAAUUUCCUCGGAGAAAAUGCCCAUACCAUUUCUACAGGUGCCCAUCGCCAAAUUCUCGGCUUGAAAGUCAAAACUCCCUUAAUUCGGCCGUACAAAUUUCUGUUAAUUUCCGCGAUGUCCAAAUCGCUUUUCCAUAAAAAAUUUCAAAAUCUCUGAAAAAUUUUCUGAGACUGAGUCGACAUUUCUAGAAUUUAUUGUGACAUGAUAGAAUCUUCAAUUUCUGAAAUUGGACUCGAAUUCACGGUUAAUUUCCAUUCGACGCAUUUUUAGCGUGACCUAGACUAUCGGGUAACUUUUAGAUUUUUAAUGCAAAUGAUCUGUGGUCGAUUUUCUUUGAGCCACUAUGAACCCAUUCGAUAUAUUGACAACUCUCGAUUGUCGUGAAAAUCUCAAUGAUUCAAAUACGGACAUAGGGUACCAAAACGAUAGAGAAAAUCAGUCUAGUGUCGACUGACGAGAAUUUUCCAAUUUAGUGGUUUCACUCACGAUUAGCCACACAUCUCAGUCAAACCGACCUAUCUUUGAUCUCUAAUCAAUUUAUGUCUGUGCCGUAAUGAUCUCGGCAGAUGAACACGGUCGAGUAGCCGAUUCCUAGUCAAAUUCUCAAGUCUAUUUGCCUUAAAAUCCUUAAUGGUUUCCCUAGAUAGUCUAGUUAUCUCGAGAGUGAUCAGUUCUAAGAAUAAUCUUAUAGGCGCGUUAAUGAAAUGCCCGAUUUAUUCAGUAGAAAACGGAGUUGAAAAUUUGCGAUGUCACAGAAGAUGUGCCAAACUGUCUAUCUUCUUUGAAAUUUUGCAUCAAACGAGUAUAAUAUUAGAUGGUAAUUAUAACCACCCACUGGCAAUUGUAACCACCCCCUCUGACAAGAGCAGGAGUGGUCACUAGAGUUGAGGGUCUUUAUAAUGAGCGGCUCCUAGCAAGUUUCUAAUAUGGUGUAGGGAGUGGGAAUUAACCAAACUAUACACUGAAUAGAAAAAAAUAAUUCUGAAAUAUAUAUAUAUAGCAAUAUCCCUGAAUUAACUCAAUCAAUCCGACAGUACAUGUGAAUUUGGCUAGUAUAUGCCAAGUGCAUAUACAUGAUUCUCCCCAAGAAUCAUAUGAAAAAUAUCAAAUCUGCACUUGAGUUUUUCUUCUUUUCUUUUUUCUGCGUAAAGUCGCGUCCCAACAUUUUGCCCAACCUUAAAGCAUUUUUCAAUAUCAUCAUGAGCACAUGAAGACAUAUGAAGCAAAUUGCUAGAGGAAGAUACCUAUCAAGGCAAGACAAGAAAUUCCAGAAAAGUUAACCAAACUAGUUUGGUCUCUUUCAGAAGUUUUUUUUUUUCCUUUCGAAUUGUCUCUUUAGAAGUUAGGGAAUGGGUAAUGAUCUAAUAACAUACAUAUUAAUUUUGUAAUACAAAUAAUACUUGAAAAAAUUGCACUUUCCACUGGCAUUGAACUAAAUAAAGUCUCGAAAUUUUCAUAAAUGAUAUACCAAUAUUUCUAGGGAAAAUUUCAAAAAAGGAUCCCAAAUACCCCUAUUUGCUCAGAUAAGGGCCUGAAAUGGAACUUAUUUCAAAUAAGGACCUAAUCAAAGACAUUUUCUUCAUUUUCCUUUUUUUUUUCUUUUUCCGGCCUUCGGCGAUGCCCACAAAGGGUUGGGCAGGGGCGAACCUCGCAACCAUCAGCGAGGUCGGCCCUUGCAAGCCCCAAGCAAUGCCUUCGAGGCUAGGUGAGGCCAACCCUCAUCAACCGCGAGGUUAGCCCUUGCCUGUAGUCGACAAAGGCUCGCUGGCCACUGGUAAAGGUCGACAAGGGCUCACUGUAGCUAGUGAGGGCUCAAUGGCCCUUGCUGGCCACCGGUGAGGGUUGGCCUGCAAGCCCUCGCCCACGGCCAACGAGGGCUCAACGACACUCACCCAUUGCCAAUGAUGAGCAUCGAGUGUUGCUGGCCCAAACGAGGGUGGCCUCGCCCACGAAAGGCAAGGGCUAUCGAGUCCUCACCAACUACGGAUGCUUUCGCCUAGGGCCGACAAGGCUCACGGUCACAAGGGUGGCCCUCCCCCAACCCUCUACAGGCAUCGCCAAUGGUUGGGAAGAAUCCAAAAAAACAAAAACAAAAACAAAAACAAAAAAAUGAAAGAAAAAAGAAAAAGGAAAAUGAUGAAAAUGUCUUUGAUAGGCCAUUAUUUGAAACAAGUAUAACCAAUUGAAGCCCUUAUUUGAAAUAAGAUUUACUUUGGGGCCUUAUUUGAGAAAAUGAGGACACUUAUGGCUCUUUUUUGAAAUUUUCCCAAAUUUUUAUAUGGUGACAAGUUGAGAGGACGGGCGAACACCGUCACUCCACUGGCCCGACUGCCUAGUACUUAGUGUAACUUUUGUCAUAACAUGUGCCCUACUCUAUACAACUUCAUACGAGAUUGUCACGUCUCCCCCUCCCUCCUCCGAGCUUAGUAUUGUGAUCAUUUUUAUCUCAACUUCCUAAGUUAGAUAUGCAUCCACCAAUAUUUUUAUGGAUACAUGUUCAGUCAUUAAACACGAGACAACAAAUAUCAGCCGAUAUAGAAUGUAUAAUCUACAAUGUACAUGAUAGGAGAAGAUGAGUGAGGGAUGUCUGUUGGAGAUCUUUUCACGUUCCUAAUCCUCAAACAUAUGGUUCUUCUGGUGCACAAUCCAAAUUUCAUGACCCCAAUCGCAAAGAGUAAUUCCCAAACAAGUCAGAGUGCUAUACCAUUUGGUUUGGACAGACUGAGAUUUCUUGGCAGCUAGUGUAAAGGAUUCUGAAUCAAACCUAGCUAGCAGAAUAUGCUCAAUUUAUGCCUAAAGGAUCCCUAAGAAGAUGACUUUGGCCAAUGAGGCAAAACCUCAGUUCACCAUUCAGAUAUAAAACAGGGUCUUGCAUCAGGCGGGCAAAAGAACCAUAGAAGUAUAUAAUAUGACGUUUAGGGUUUUGUCAACCCUUUGAAUACACCGAAGAUGGUAAGCAUGGCCCGAUCAAUUAAGUUUCUGCGUGAUUGAUGACGCUCAAAAAGAAUAAUGAAUAAAACAUGAGCUGUUGGUCCUGUGCAAAAUCAGCUGCUUUUUUGUUUGACUAAGGCUCCCGAUCAAAGGUGUACCCUGUAGAGGAGGAUGCAAAAGAAAAUCACUCCGCCUGUUUGCACAUCUUCGAAAGUUCAAAAUUACGGAAAUCCUUAACAACAGUAGAAAAAGAGAGGUGCAUAUAGCCUAAGAAUUUGGAUAAGAAUAGUAAAAGUGCUAUAACUUUCACACGGUGCUCACUUAAGUAUCAUAACUUGUCAUUUGCUCACUUGAGUACCAUUAACAAUUUGUUUCACCAAAAAAUCCGACAUGGACGCUAAUUGUUCUACAUGACUUCAUCAGCGUUGACACGGACAAUUUUUUAAUAUUUUUAAUAUUUAAAUUUUCUUUGAAUUUUUUUGGGGCCGAUCGCUAGCCCUAAAAGAGGAAAAUAAGGCACAGCCUUGAAAAGAAAAAAAAAAGCAAAUAAAAACAAAAAAUAAAAUAAAGAUUCAAAAAAUUCAUGCAAGAUGAUUGAUCGAAAAUGGCACUCAAAUGAUCGAUUCAUUUCAAUUUGGCCCUUAAGGAAGCCAAAAAGAAAAUUAUGACCCUCAAUGAGUGUUAUACGAAAGUUAUAAUACUUACUCUAUUCUUCUGCCCAAGAAUUAUUAUGAUACUGUCUAGACCAAAAAAAAAAGUCAUUAAGUACUCUUGAAACAUCAUGUCCCUUCUCUGAAAAUUAUUAAUGCGGUCAACAUUAUUUGUGCGAGAGCUUACAAAUAAGAGAAAAUACGGUAUAUUAGUCGCACAAUAUUAUAUAUAUAUAUAUAUAUAUAUAUAUAUAUAUAUAUUCUUUAUUCAUUCGCAUCAUAUCGGUAUCUUUUUAGAUUUUUCCUAUUGUGAGAAUUCUCUAUCAACCAUGAUUUCACUUAUUUAGUUUUCCUACAUUGUCGUGGGACUUUGUUUAAAUUCUUUUCACCAUCUGAGGCGUGGGAAAUGGACAAAAUCGACUUGUGUUUGCUCAUAGUACCGAGGGAGAAAAUAAGCAAAACUUUAGGAAACUAUAGAGCCCUCCAAUUGGAUUAGAGUUUUCAAAAAUCUUAUAAGAAUGUCCCCCACAACUUGAACUUUGAAGAUGGGACGAAGAUUUUGCCAGCCUAGGUGUUGGGGUGUGUUUUGAGAUUGAACUGGAUACUUCAUAACUUUAUUUAAUCCAAAAUCUAUUUUAGGGAUUCUUUUGAAAAAAAAAAAAAAAAGGCUUACUUCGAGGUCUUGUUUGAAAUUUUCCCUGGAAAGUGGAAGUAUUUAAUCAUCAUUACCACACUUCCAAAUGAUUAACAAAUCAAUAGUGCUCAGCACAUGAUUGCUGCAUUUUGUGGAAUAGUAUAAUCAAUGUUUAGGUCUGUCGCUUGACUCAUUUAUCUUGAUGGGUAAAUUUAAAAAUUUCUACACUUAGAGUGGAGGAUCUCAUCGUGGUCAUAUAUGACUCUCUAAUUGUAUCUUUUGCCUUUCAAUUCGUGACUCUUCGUCUAAUUGUUGAAUCAAUGAAAAAAAAAUGUACAUAAAAUAAAUAAAUAAAAAUACACCUUCUAGUUAUCUCCAUACUAUUUGCAUGGAGAAGAGUUAGAAUUCGAUAUAAAUUGUAAAGUUAUGUCUGGUAGUUAGGAUAAAUCAUAAUAUGAUAAAUUUAUCAUAUCUUACGUUUGGUUCUUUCCCAAGACAAAAAAAAAAGGGAAAUAAAAUAUAUUAGACUAAAUAAAAAUAUCUCAUAGGAGAGGUAGUAGAUAAGAUUUCUUAUGUCAAUGAUAUAAAAGUUAUUUUUCUCUAAUGGCAAGCUUAUUAAAUUAAUGAAAUUAAAAUAAUAAUUAAAUAUGAAUAAUAUUCUAAUGUAAAAUAAAUUUUGUUGUUAUUUAUUUCUGUGUUUGUUUAUAUAUGUUUAGUAUAUAUAUCUAUUACAUAUUUUAUGUAUAUUAUUAUAUUUUUUAUUUAAUAAAAAAUUUUAAUGAAUGAUUGAAGGGAAGAAAAAAGAAAUAAAAAAGAGAGGGAAAAAUAAUAAAAAUAAGUAAAUAAAAAUGAAGUAGAAGUAAUCAUAUUUUAAAUGAAUAAAUUUGAGCUUUAAAAAGAUCUUUCUAAUUCUAGUAGAAUGAGGGGCAACAAUACAUGUCGAAGCUUCACGACUGCCUUGUUUUUUGGUCCAUGUCAAAACUCAACCAAAACAAUGAGAGAGUAAAAGGUUCACCUUAAAAAUUCAUGAAAACAAUGUGAGAGUCCAAACUCCUCCUCCUUUGUAGCUCUACGGUUCAUGUCGAAGCUUCACAAAAGUGACAAGAGAGUUGAAGACAAUACUUUUUGGAAUCAUGAAUGUGAGUGGUCACGUUUUCUAUAUCUUACUAGAUUUGACAUUCACUGACUAAUCUACCCUAUAAAUAUUGCAAUUGCUUGUUAAAGUUUCGUGUCAUAUUCAAACCUGUGAUUUUGGAAUACUGCAAUGAGUUCCUUUGCCCUUUAAGAUUUAAAAUUUAAGAUUGUACAAUAAUUAUGGUUUGAUUGAUAAAUUAUUUUUGUUUAUGCAUUUGUGGUUGUUUUAGCAAUUAAUCGUGACAAAUUCUUACCAUCUCUAUUUGUAUAUUUUUAGGUUCAUUUAUAUCAAUAAGCCGUCUUUAUACAAAACACUUGACAUUAUAGGAUAUGAGAGUAUCCAAUUUUAUUACUGCAAUCAACCAAAUAGUAGAUAGGACAAAGUAGAAUCCAUGGAUUUCAUAUCAUACCCUCUCUAAUCCUAUCCUGACCAAGUUAUGAUAAUAGGUAAUCAAGUUAUUUUUAGAAUUAAAAAGUAAAAAAUAAAAAUCAUUACAAGGCAAAAUCUUCUAAAGAUCAGCAUGAAAAGAUAACAUCGAGUAGAUUAUUUGGAUAUAUGUUUCUAUUUGUUUUUUAUUCAAUUUCCAUAGAGAUCAAAUUGUUAUCCUACAUCUGUAAUUUCCAUCAUAAUUAUAAGUAGUGAUAUCUCUAUUUAUAUGGUACAAUGGAUCAUUGUAAAGUAGACUCAGUUCUAUGUUCUUACGGUAUCAAAGUAUAGGAGAUCCUCAUUUCAAAUCUUUCAGAGUCCCAUUUUUCUUAGCCCCUUUUCUUCAUCUUUAUCAGAUAGAAACACAGAGCAAGUCUCGGAGAAGAUAAAACAGAAAUCAUGAAUCCCAGUCAUGAUCUUUCUCAUCAAAACAAGCCAAAGCCAAAGGCCGUGAUCGUAGGAGGGAGCAUAGCAGGUGUGUCAUGCGCGCAUGCGCUCAUUCUGGUGGGUUGGGACGUUGUGGUCAUAGAGAAAUCGCGCAGGCCUCCGAAAGGAAACCCCACCGGCGCAGGACUCGCGUUGGAUCCGCUCUCUCAGGAGCUCAUCGGGUCCUGGACUGGACACCCUGAACUCCUCCAUGACAUCACCUCCCCUGCCGCCAUUGAUCUUGUAAGGGAACUUCAUACGAUAAACUCAGUCUACUCCAAGUCUUCCUAAGGAUUGAAUUAUGAUAUGCAUUGAAGUUAAGAUCGCAGCUAUGUCUUUCUUCUUGCACCUUGAUUGUCAAGUUCUUGCUUCGCUCGACACUGAGAGGAGAUGUUAAGCUCUUCCAGGAGAUAUGGGUCCUUUUCCUUUUCUGUAGUUGAACAUAUAGAGAUUGAUCUUGCUUGUUAUGUGGCACUCAAAAUUGUAUCCUUGUUCUCACCAAACUUGCUAUGCGCCUAUUUGUACUAGAACCAAGCAAUCAAUGACGAGAAAUCCAGGAAGAUACUAGCAAGAGAUGAGAAUUUCAAUCAUAGAGCAGCACAUUGGUCCAGUCUGCAUGACCACCUGUUCUCUGCAUUGCCGCCAGAAAUAUUCCUGUGGGGCCAUCUUUUCCUCUCUUUCUCUGUUUCCAAUGAUAAGCGAUCGGUCAAAAUCAGGGCCCAAGUUCUCGAUACCGAAGAAACUGCGGAAGUAGACGGAGAUUUGCUCGUCGCUGCAGAUGGAUGGAACUCUCUGAUUCGCAAGCACUAUUUUCCGGAUAUCAAACGAAGGUUGUUACUUCUUUGUCCAAAUUGUUAUGCAUCAAUCCCUAACUUAGACCGUUUUGUUGUCUUUGGUGAUUAUGUCGAUGUAAUAGGUAUUCAGGCUAUUGCGCCUGGAGAGGAGUUCUUGAUACGAUUGUAAUAGCAGUUGCUGAUAUACUGAAAGACCUAAACAAUCAUGACUAAAAUUUCCAAUAAUUUUCCUGUUUAUUCACAAGAUUUAUUGGCGCAACUACACGAGCAUAUCUCAUGGAAGAUCUCAUGGAAGAUCUUGGUCUAUUUAUAUAUACAUAUAGAAUUCAUUAAAACCCAGAACAUAGGAGCCAUCAUAUAGAUAUCAUUGUCUAUGCAUGCCUUUCCGUAAGUCCCUUGCGUCUUGCGCUAUCUCAUACUGUCUGUUAUUGACAAAUACAGGGGAAUUCGGUUACUAUGAAAGUAAGUGAUGAAAUGAUUCAGAAGAUGUACCAAGAUGCAGAGAAAAUUUGGCAUCCAACUUUCGUUCAGGUCAUGAGAGAAACUAAAGAACCUUUUGUGAAUGCCAUUUACGAUUGCGAUCCCCCGGAACGAAUAGUUUGGGACAACGUGGUACUUGUCGGCGAUGCAGCACACCCCACAACACCACACAGCUCGAGGAGCACAAACAUGUCGAUUCUGGAUGCAGCGGUCCUAGGCCGGUGCUUGGAGAAGUUGGGGUCGGAAAAUCUGACGGCUGCUCUUGAAGAAUACCAAUCCAUUAGGCUACCUGUUGCAUCCAAGCAAGUCUUGCAUGCCCGGCGAGUCGGGAGGAUAAAACAAGGUCUUGAACUUCCUGACCGCAAAUCUUUCAAUCCUAACACAGCCAAUUGGGAGGAAUGCGAGAUGCUUCAACUGAGAGCCGUGCCCUUCUUCGGACACAACCCUUUGUUCUGAUAGAUCUGAUUGAGCAACGUUUUCUUGCCGGCACUAAUCAUCCUAUGUUUGUUGCCAUUCUAAGCAUGUCAAUGUGGAUUUCAGAUAUGUUAUAGAUUAUUUCAAGCUCUAGCUAGAUAGAGCAAGACAUGCAUCUUCUUAAGUAAUUUGACUUAAACCAGUGUCAUUACCGAUGAUGGUAACAUUCACCUUAGAUUUGUGUUAAGAGGGUUAACGAUCAUUUCAUCUGUUGAAGCACUUGGAUUAGGCCAACCGAUGUGUGUAACUUACAUGUUUCUUAUUACAGCGGCGAUAGUCUUUGUACAGCAGCAGAAAACUUGUUCCUCACCCUCACAAAUUAGUCAACUUGAUCUAUAUAUAAAAAAUAUAUAUAUAUAUUCCUGAUCUAUCACUGUGUCAAAGCUAGCCAUGUAUGCAUUCACAUAUCAAGAAAUAGGAAUGUUGGUGAUUACUUAUUGUAAAGGAAAAGAAAGUUUCUAACGUAGCACCUUUAGAUCGCCGGAAAGAAUAUCCCAAAAUCCACGCUUUGACUGAAACAUUCUAACUACAAUACAACAAACAUGUCGAACCUAUCGUUGGACAUUCUACAUGGCUAACGUAACGUAGAUGACCAAUUACAUUGCUCACAUGAUGGAUAUCAAAACAAUUUUGAUGUUUGAUUUUUGAAACUAACUAGUUUUUGUAGAUGUCAUGGCCAUAUUAUAUGACUACUGCAUAAAAUAUCUGGCCAUCGCUGUCUAGUUAUGAUUCACAAUCAUUCCAAGGCAAACCGCAACACAAUUCGAUGGGUGUCACCUUAGAUUUGUGUUAAGAGGGUUAUGGAUCAUUUCACCUACUGAAGUACUUGGAUUAGACCAACUGAUGCAUAUAAUUGGCCUGUUUUUUAUUAUAACAGCAAUAGUCCUUGUACAGCGUAGAAAACCAGUUCCUCACCCUCACAAAUCAGUUAACUUGAUCUAUGAAUAGGAAAAUAUUCCUAGCCAUGUAUUCAUUCACAUAUCAAGAAAUAGGAAUGCCGGUGAUUACUUAUUGAAAAGGAAAAGAAAGUUUGUAAUGUAGCAACUUUAGAUAGAAAAAAAGAAUAUCACAAAAUCCACACUUCAACCAAAACAUUUCUCUAAUUACAAUACAACAAACAUGUUGAACCUAUCGUUCAUUGUUCUACAUGGCUAAUGUAACGCAUGGUCAAUCACAUUGCUUGAAUGAUGGGUAUCAUAAUUAAUUUCUGUGUUUGAUUUUGAAACUAUCUUACUAAUUUUGGUAGAUGCCAUGGCCAUAUUAUAAGACUAUUGCAAAAAAAAAAAAAAAAAAAAAAUCCGGCCAUUGCUGUCUACCUAUGAUUUGCAAUCAUUCCGGGCCAAACUGCCACAUGUUCUGACCGAUGUCACCUUAGAUUUGUGUUAAGAGAGUUAAGGAUUAUUUCAUCUAUUAAAGCACUUGGAUUAGGCUAACCGACGCAUGUAGUUUACCUAUUUCUUGUUACAGCAGCAAUAGUCCUUGUACAGCAAUGGAAAACUUGUUCAUCACCUCACAAAUUAGUCAAUUUAAUCUAUGAAUACAAAAAUAUUUUUGAUCUAUCACUGCACCAAAGUUAGCCAUGUAUGCAUUCACAUAUCAAAAAAUAGGAAUGCUGGUGAUUACUUAUUGAAAAAGAAAAGAAAGUUUCUAGCAUAGCACCUUUAGAUAGCCGAAAAGCAUAUCACAAAAUCCGCACUUCACCAAAACUUUUCCUUAAUUACAAUACAACAAACAUGUCGAACAUAUCGUUCACCGUUCUACAUGGUUAACGUGAUGAGGACGACCAAUCACAUUGCUCGUGUGAUGGGUACCAUACGUCGUGGCUCUAUUAUAAGACUACUGCAUAAAAUAUCCAUCGUUGUUGUCUAGCUAUGAUUCUCAAUCAUUCCUGGCCAAACCACCACAUGUUCCAACCGAUGUCACCUUAGAUUUGUGUUAAGAUGGUUCAGGAUCAUUUCAACUACUGAAGCACUUGGAUUAGGCCAACUGAUGCAUAUAAUUUACCUGUUUCUUGUUACAACAACAAUAGCCUUGUAUAGCAGUAGAACACUUGUUCAUCACCCUUACAAAUUAGUUAACUUGAUAUAUAAAUAAGAAAAUUUUCAUGAUUUAUCACUGCAUCAAAGCUAACCACAUAUGCAUUCACAUAUCAAUAAAUAGAAAUGCCGGUGAUUACUUAUUAAAAAGGAAAAGAAAAUUUCUAAUGGAGCAUCUUUAAAUAGCCGAAAAGAAUAUUCCAAAGUCCGCGCUUCGACCGAAACAUUCCUCUAAUUACAAUAUAACAAACAUGCUAAACGUAUCAUUUAUCGUUUUACAUGGCUAACAUAACACGGACGACCAAUCACAUUGUUCACAUGAUGGGUAUCAUAUGUCAUGGCUAUAUUAUAAGACUACUACAUAAAAUAUCCGGCUGUCAUUGUCUAGCUAUGAUUCUCAAUCAUUUCGAGUCAAACCACCACCUGUUCUGACCGAUGUCACCUUCGAUUUGUGUUAAGAGGGUUAAGGAUCAUUUCAUCUACUAAAGAACUUUGAUUAGGCCAACUACUUCAUGUAAUUAACAUAUUUCUUGUUAUAGCAGCAAUAGACCUUGUACAGCAAUAGAAAACAUGUUUAUCACCCUCACAAAUUAGUCAACUUGAUCUAUGAAUAAGAAAACACUCCUCAUUUAUCACGCAUCAAAGCUAGCCAUGUAUUCACAUAUCAAGAAAUAAGAACACCAGUGAUUACUUAUUGAAAAGGAAAAGAAAGUUUCUAAUGUAGGAUCUUUAGAUAGCUGAAAAGAAUAUCCCAAAAUCCGCACUUCGACCAAAACAUUUCUCUAAGUGCUAUAUAGCAAACAUGGCAAACCUAUCGUUCUUCGUUCUACAUGACUAACGUAAUGCGGAUGACCAAUCACAUUGCUCGCAUGAUGAGUAUCAUAAAUAAUUUAUGUGUUUGAUUUUGAAACUAUCUGACUAAUUUUGGUAGAUGUCAUGGCCACUAUCGCAUAAAAUAUCCCACAGUCGUUAUUUAGUUAUGAUUCUCAAUCAUUCUGAGCCAGACCGCCACAUGUUCUGAUCAAUGUCGCAUUAGAUUUGUGUUAAGCCAUCUACUGAAGCACUUGUGGAUUAUGCCAAUUGAUGCAUGUAAUUUACUUAUUUCUUAUUACAACAGCAAUAGUCCUUGUACAACCGGUGAAAACUUGUUCCUCACCUCACAAAUUAGUCAACUUGAUCCAUGGAUAAGAAAAUAUUCAUGUUCUAUCAAUGCAUCAAAGUUAGCCAUGUAUGCAUUCACAUAUCAAGAAAUAGGAACGCCAGUGAUUACUUAUUGAAAAGGAAAAGAAAGUUUCUAAUGUAGCACCCUUAGAUAGCCGAAAAGAAUAUCCCAAAAUCCGCAUUUCGACCAAGACAUUUCUUUAAUUACAAUACAGCAAAUAUGCCGAACCUAUCGCCCAUCGUUCUACAUGGCUAACGUAACGCGGAUGACCAAUCACACUGCUUACAUUGUGGGUAUCAUAAAUAUAUUUCUAUGUUUGAUUUUGAAACUAUCUUACUAGUUUUGGUAGAUGUCAUGGCCGUAUUAUAAGACUAUUGCAUAAGAUAUUCGGUCGUUGUUGUCUAGCUAUGGUUCUCAGUCAUUUCGGGCUGAACCGCCACAUGUUUCGACCGAUGUCACUUUAGAUUUGUGUUAAGAGAGUUAAGGAUCAUUUCAUCUACUGAAGCACUUGGAUUAGGCCAACUGAUGCAUGUAAUUUACCGGUUUCUUAUUACAACAGCAAUAGUCCUUAUAAAGCAGUAAAAAACUUGCUCAUCACCUUCACAAAUUAAUCAACUUGAUCCAUGGAUAAGAAAAUAUUCCUAGUAUAUUGAUGCGUCAAAGUUAGCUAUGCAUGCAUUUGCACGCCGAUGAUUACUUAUUGAAAAGAAAAUAAAGUUUCUAAGGUGAUACUUUUAGGUAGCCGAAAAGAAUAUCUCAAAGUCUGAAAUUCAAUCGAAAUAUUUCUUUAAUUACAAUACAACAAACACUUCUAACCUAUUAUUGCUCAUUCAUUUUACAUGGCUAUGUUAAUGUGGACUAUCAAUCACAUCACUUGCAAGAUGGGUAGCACAAAUAACUUGUGUGCUGGAAAUCGUUGACUAGUUCUGGCAGAUGUCAGGAUCAUAUUAUAAGAUUAUUGCAAAAAGUAUCCGACCAUCCCGUCGUUGUCAGGCUAUGAUAACUAAUUAUUCCGAGCCAGUCGCCACGUGUUUCGACCGAACAUCCACAAGGGAACACGAAAGCCAGAAGCUUUCACGAGACGAUCGCGUAAGUGGGAGGGAGCAUCGCGGGAUUAUCCUGCGCGCACGCGGUCAUUUCAGCCGGAUGGGACGUCGUCGAGAAGUCGAGAAGUCGAGCGCGCCGCCGACCGGGAGCCCCACCGGCGCGGGGCUUGGGCUCAGGCGGUCGGCUCGGAAGCGGAUCGGGGCUUGGCUCGGGACGGCGCAGCGGCUCCACGAUGCCACUUUGCCACUCGCUGUUGAUCAGGUCACGCCCUGUCGUCCGUCUUCUGAGUCGACGAGGACGUGAAAAAAAUGAGUUUUUGCGAGUUGGGUCGUCCUUUGUUGUUUGAUUCGGACUUGAAGAAUAAAGCUUGAAGCUUGAGUUCGUAAUCUAGCUAAGAUGGGCGGAUUUUAACUGAUACAAAAGCCAUAAAAGCUAGAAACGUGGUUUUCUUAGCACAGAAAUUGAACAGAAAACUUAAAAUAGAAUUCUGUUUGGUUCAGCCAAAAAAGGAAUUUGGGGUGAAUCUGGUGAUAGAUUCAAUUUGUUGUAUUUACAUUCGGAAAAAAACAUACUGUCUGAGUAUGAUUUACGCACAAGGUGCUGUAGCCAACAAAAGUGGAAAAGAUCAAACAAGAAACGUGCGUGAAGAUGUGAAUAAAACAGAUUGUUUCUGUGAAAUAACGUCAGGAUCAUAUCCUGUCUUUGUGAAAAAAGUAAAACCCGACAACCCAAUUGAUUGUUUCACUGACUCGGUUUGGUUUCAAGAGUUGGUCACACCAAAUCAGACCGAGUUCUACUCUGAAUGAGUUCGAAUACAUGGUCUCGUUGUAUCCAAUUCCUGCUAAUUUAUUGGAAAACACUGCAGAACAAUGCAACGGAUGGUGAAAAGAAAGUGAGCCGGGUGCUCACAAGGGAUGAGGAAUUCAAUUUCAGAGCAGCGCACUGGACCGAUCUCCAUGGCCUUCUUCGCAAGGAACUACCACCGCGUGUUGUGUCAUGGGGUCAUGUCCUGUGAUUCAGCCUAUCUGACAACAAGGCUAAAGUCAAAGUCAAAAUUAAAGUUCUUAAGACCAAUGAUACCAUUGAGAUAAAUGGUAACUUGCUUGUCGCAGCAGAUGGGUGUCUGUCUUCCAUUCGGCAGAGUUUCCUCCCUGACCUUAAACUGAGGUUCUUUCUGAAACCAAUGAAUUUAGAACCCCAUGCCUUUUUUCUUUUUUUCUUUUUUUUAUCACAAAAGACUUGCAUUUGAGCUUCUAGUGUGAAAUGACAGCAACUAUUUUUGUAGGUAUUCAGGUUAUUGUGCAUGGAGGGGAGUUCUCGAUUUUUCAGGACGAGAGAAUUGAGAAGCCAUUUUGAGGAUCAAGAGAGCUUAUCCUGAUCUUGGGAAGUGUCUGUACUUUGACCUGGGUUUUGGGACUCAUAGCGUGUUAUAUGAACUCCUGAACAAAAGGCUUAAUUGGAUUUGGUACAUCAAUCAGCCUGAGCC